UAGGGAAUCUUCGGCAAUGGGGGGAACCCUGACCGAGCAACGCCGCGUGAGUGAAGAAGGUUUUCGGAUCGUAAAGCUCUGUUGUUAAGGAAGAACGAGUGUGAGAAUGGAAAGUUCAUACUGUGACGGUACUUAACCAGAAAGGGACGGCUAACUACGUGCCAGCAGCCGCGGUAAUACGUAGGUCCCGAGCGUUGUCCGGAUUAAUUGGGCGUAAAGCGAGCGCAGGCGGUUAGCAAAGACUGAAGUGAAAGGCGGUGGCUCAACCAUUGUAGGCUUUGGAAACUGUUUAACUUGAGUGCAGAAGGGGAGAGUGGAAUUCCAGGUGUAGCGGUGAAAUGCGUAGAUAUAUGAAGGAACACCGGUGGCGAAAGCGGCUCUCUGGUCUGUAACUGACGCUGAGGCUCGAAAGCGUGGGGAGCGAACAGG
rnacentral:rRNA from 1 species